GCAUAUAAAUAGCGGAGGAAAAGAAACCAACAGGGAUUGCCUCAGUAACGGCGAGUGAAGCGGCAACAGCUCAAAUUUGAAAUCUGGCCUCUUUGGGGUCCGAGUUGUAAUUUGUAGAGGAUGUUUCGGGCACCGCUCCGGUUUAAAUUUCUUGGAACAGAAUGUCAAAGAGGGUGAGAACCCCGUCUUGGACCGGCAGUAGGGCCCAUGUGAAACUCCUUCGACGAGUCGAGUUGUUUGGGAAUGCAGCUCAAAAUGGGUGGUAAAUUUCAUCUAAAGCUAAAUAUUGGCCAGAGACCGAUAGCGCACAAGUAGAGUGAUCGAAAGAUGAAAAGCACUUUGAAAAGAGAGUUAAACAGUACGUGAAAUUGUUGAAAGGGAAGCGCUUGCAACCAGACUUGCGCGCGGCGGUUCCCCCUUCCUUUUGGUUGGGUUAUUCCGCCGUGUCCAGGCCAACAUCGGUUCUGGGGGUCGGUUAAAGGCCUGGGGAAUGUAUCUACCCUUCGGGCGUAGACUUAUAGCCCCGGGUGUCAUGCGACCUCCCGGGACCGAGGAACGCGCUUCGGCUCGGAUGUUGGCGUAAUGGUUGUCAGCGACCCGUCUUGAAACACGGACCAAGGAGUCUAACAUCUAUGCGAGUGUUUGGGUGUCAAACCCGGAACGCGGAAUGAAAGUGAACGGAGGUAGGAAGCUUCGGCUGCACUAUCGACCGAUCCUGAUGUCUUCGGAUGGAUUUGAGUAAGAGCAUAGCUGUUGGGACCCGAAAGAUGGUGAACUAUGCCUGAAUAGGGUGAAGCCAGAGGAAACUCUGGUGGAGGCUCGCAGCGGUUCUGACGUGCAAAUCGAUCGUCAAAUUUGGGUAUAGGGCGAAAGACUAAUCGAACCAUCUGGUAGCUGGUUCCUGCCGAA
rnacentral:rRNA from 1 species